rnacentral:tRNA from 1 species
GCAGAUAUAGUUUAAUGGUAGAACAUCAUCCUUCCAAGUUGAUUAUGCGGGUUCGAUUCCCGUUAUCUGCU